rnacentral:rRNA from 1 species
AUUGAACGCUGGCGGCAUGCCUUACACAUGCAAGUCGAACGGCAGCACGGGUGCUUGCACCUGGUGGCGAGUGGCGCACGGGUGAGUAUUACAUCUGAACAUGUCCUGUAUUGGGGGAUAGCCCGUCGAAAGCCGGAUUAAUACCGCCUACGAUCUACUGAUGACAGCUGGGUCCCUUCUGGCCUCCCGCCUUACUGUUAGCCGAUGACGGAUUAGCUAGUUGGUGGGGUAAAGGCCUACCAAGGCGACGAUCAGUAGCUGGUCUGAGAGGACGACCAGCCACACUGGGACUGAGACACGGCCCAGACUCCUACGGGAGGCAGCAGUGGGGAAUUUUGGACAAUGGGCGAAAGCCUGAUCCAGCAAUGCCGCGUGUGUGAAGAAGGCCUUCGGGUUGUAAAGCACUUUUGUCCGGAAAGAAAUCCUUGGCCCUAAUACGGGCGGGGGAUGACGGUACCGGAAGAAUAAGCACCGGCUAACUACGUG